rnacentral:rRNA from 1 species
AUUGAACGCUCGCGGGAUGCUUUACACAUGCGAGUCGAACGGCAGCGCGGACUUCGGUCUGGCGGCGAGUGGCGAACGGGUGAGUAAUGUAUCGGAACGUGCCCAGUAGCGGGGGAUAACUACGCGAAAGCGUAGCUAAUACCGCAUACGCCCUACGGGGGAAAGCAGGGGAUCGUAAGACCUUGCACUAUUGGAGCGGCCGAUAUCGGAUUAGCUAGUUGGUGAGGUAACGGCUCACCAAGGCGACGAUCCGUAGCUGGUUUGAGAGGACGACCAGCCACACUGGGACUGAGACACGGCCCAGACUCCUACGGGAGGCAGCAGUGGGGAAGUUUGGACAAUGGGGGCAACCCUGAUCCAGCCAUCCCGCGUGUGCGAUGAAGGCCUUCGGGUUGUAAAGCACUUUUGGCAGGAAAGAAACGUCGCGGGCUAAUACCCCGUGGAACUGACGGUACCUGCAGAAUAAGCACCGGCUAACUACGUG